GGAAAAGCAGUCUAAGGGAAUGGCAGCAAUUAGCUUUGGCGAUGAGGCAAGCUGUCUUCGGAGUCUAAAGGAAAAAAAUCUUCAGAUAGAUGGGUUGAUGUAAAAAAAAGACAGGAAUGUUGAUGAUCUGAUAUUUCUUUGUAAAGCAAGUGUAGGGUGAAGCCAUAUGCUGCAAGUAAACAGGUGAAAAGUGUUACUGGAAACUUAAAAGGUCUGAAACUACUUGUUUACCUAUACCUUCGCAAAUGGCCAAAAGUGAUGUGAGCCUGGGGAAGAAUCUGUUUUUUUAUGGCUUUGGUUGCUUAUAGUUGCUAAAGCAUACCUCAUUGUGAGCAUUGGGACCUGAUGACUGAAAUACUAAUUUCUUGAGUACGUAUUUUUAGCUUAGGAAAGCUGUGGUUUAACUG